AUGGAUGGAUCGAGGGAGAAACAGGAAGAAAAAGAAGAAGAAAAAAACACACAAACAUGUAGAAUUAGUGAGCGUAUGAGUAACAAUAGAGCGGAGGCGCAAACACACCAUCUCGUGCGGCGUUAUUUCAGUGAACAGAGAGGAUGCACAAUUUACUGCGUUAAGGGUGUUUUGGCAAAGGGUGAUGAUGACAGCUUCCGGAAAUUCAGUGUACCCCCCCGUCCUACCACAACAACCCCUAUCAAACACCAACAAUUUCGGUGUGUUGCGAGGAAACAAUUUCGCCGCCUCCUAGGCCGGAGACAGAGGCACAACGCGCUGUAAACACCUGACAUCAUCAUUCCGACAGAGAUGCGAAACCGCAGCAUGCCGAUUACCGUUGCGUACACACUGAUGCAACAACAGAGCAAUGAGGAAGGAAAGGAAAUCGAUCGAACGAUUGCCGCCACUUGAGGGCCGGUAGCGGUGGUAAGGAAACUGUCAACCGUUCCAGGGCCGGCCCCAGCACACGGUCCUUACCAACUCCAAAAGCUUAUGCUGCUGCCAGCGCGUCCAACGUCGCGGGUGUACUGUGAAGCUGUGCGCCGUGCCAGUGGAACGAAACAGAAAUCAUAAAAUUGGUAGUAAUAAAAUAGCUGCUGUAGGUCCAAUAUUGACGGAAGUACAAGUACGGGAAAUAACACAUACAGGACCACCCAAAGAUGAUUGACAGGAAAACAGUUACUAAUUCUGGUGUAAUUAGCAAGCUUAUGUUUUUUUUCGGGUGAGGUUGUUAUCAUCAUCCUCAUGCAGCAGCGAUCCGGCGCUACAGUGAUGACCAGAAAAAUAAAGACACAGCUAGUAAUUAUUGGGAUUUUUUAUUCAAAAUGAACGGCCGUAUGGCUUAAACGGGAAAAGAAUCUACAAAUAGUGUAUCAGUGCCAUUAUCAAACUUUUCCAAAUUAUACUUUAAUACAUCCUAAAUUGUUAAAACAAACAGACAGACAGACAA